rnacentral:miRNA from 14 species
GCAGAUACACUCUUACAUGAAU